GAUCUCUUUAUGCGCGCGCACGCAAAGCCGCGCGGGUCAGGCCACGUUGUCAUCGUCGCCGCCGGCGGUCUGAUGCGACGGUCCGGUCGACGCUGUUCGCCGUCGGUGCGCAGAGACUGCAUCGCGUGCGAGGGUCUCGAAAUUGCGCGCGCUCAGGCAAGUGAUGACGGGACACAACUGGCGCGCCUCGGGCGUCGCCAAAUAGGCGUCGAGCGCGCGCAAGACCGCCGAUAGAUCGUCCUCUUGGCCGUCGUUGCCGUCGCCGCGCUCCACGAGGCGGCGUGCGCGCAGGACCUCGUCGAUGGUCUCCAGGAGGCCUUGCCGAAAGGCAGCGGCGGUCGAGGGCGGUCGGGGGCUCUUGGCGCCCGCGGCGACAUCGCGCCAGCCGGCGCGCAUGCACAGUAGCACCGUAGACGAUGCGCGGAUCAUCCGAGAUAAUGGCGGCGACGGGGGUCAGAGUGUGGCCUCUCUCUUUUUUUGUGCGCGCGCACCCACCACGGCGAUUCUCUCUUCGUGUGCCUCUCUUUGUCUCUUCUUUUUUCUUUUUUUUUCUGUUUUCGAAAAAAACAAAUCGAAAAGAGAAAAAUUCAUCUUGUGGUCGAACAGCGGG
rnacentral:lncRNA from 1 species